AGAGUUUGAUCCUGGCUCAGGACGAACGCUGACGGUGUGCUUUAGGCAUGCAAGUCGAACGAGAAAGCCCUUCGGGGUGAGUAAAGUGGCGAACGGGUGAGUAACACGUGGGCAACCUGCCCCUCGCAGGGGGAUAACCGGAGGAAACUCCGGCUAAUACCCCGUAAGCUCCGCUGGUCGCAUGGCCUACGGAGGAAAGGUAGCUUCGGCCAUCCGGCGAGGGAUGGGCCCGCGGUGCAUUAGCUAGUUGGUGGGGUAAAGGCCCACCAAGGCGACGAUGCGUAGCUGGUCUGAGAGGAUGAUCAGCCACACUGGGACUGAGACACGGCCCAGACUCCUACGGAAGGCAGCAGCCAGGAAUCUUGGGCAAUGGGCGCAAGCCUGACCCAGCAACACCGUGUGGGCGAUGAAGGCCUUCGGGUCGUAAAGCCCUGUUGAUAGGGACGAAGGGCGAAGGGUUAAUAGCCCCUAGCCUGACGGUACCUUUCGAGGAAGCCCCGGCUAACUACGUGCCAGCAGCCGCGGUAAUACGUAGGGGGCGAGCGUUGUCCGGAAUUAUUGGGCGUAAAGAGCGUGUAGGCGGUUCGGUAAGUCUGCCGUGAAAACCUGAGGCUCAACCUCGGGCGUGCGGUGGAUACUGCCGGGCUAGAGGACGGUAGAGGCGAGUGGAAUUCCCGGUGUAGCGGUGAAAUGCGCAGAUAUCGGGAGGAACACCAGUAGCGAAGGCGGCUCGCUGGGCCGUUCCUGACGCUGAGGCGCGAAAGCUAGGGGAGCGAACAGGAUUAGAUACCCCGGUAGUCC
rnacentral:rRNA from 1 species